AGUGACUGUGGACAAUUUGGGUCUAGCUCAACAUGCUUGCUUUUCCUUCAUGGAAACUGAAAUCUCACCUGGCAAUAGAUUUCAAUGUCUGGACACACACGUGACACUUUGAGGAAAGCCACUGAAAACAGCUGCGGCCAAGAAAGUCUUCAGAUCUCAAGGCCACAGCUAAGAUAUAAAGCCAAGGGGAGGAGCCAGCUGCAGGUUCUGUAUUAGAUGGAUCUCCCAGGGGAGGGGCAAAAUAUCUCUCUUACUGAACUCCACAGAGUGUAUUUGCUCUCUAGGUAAAGGUGGGAGGGAAGGGGCCCUAGGAUUGUUUGAGAUGCAAUCUUGAGAGGUUGUGAGAUUACACUCAUUAAAAAAAAUAACUGGCCAGGUGCAGUGGCGCAUGCCUGUAAUCCCAGUACUUCGGGAUACUGAGUUGGAUGGGUUGCGUGAGCCUAGGAGAGAUCAAGGCUGCAAUGAGCCAUGCUCACAUCACUGCACUCCAGCCUGGGUGACAGAGUGAGACCCUGUCUCAAUUAAAAUAAUGAUAAUGAUAAUAAUAACAACCUCAGGUGGAACUUGGAAAUGGUACCAUGAAAGCAAGUAUCUUUGAGUUUCUAAGGUAAACACAAAAUCUGGCC
rnacentral:lncRNA from 10 species